GAUGAACGCUGGCGGCGUGCCUAAUACAUGCAAGUCGAGCGAACAGAUGAGGAGUUUGCUCCUCUGACGUUAGCGGCGGACGGGUGAGUAACACGUGGAUAACCUACCUAUAAGACUGGGAUAACUUCGGGAAACCGGAGCUAAUACCGGAUAACAUAUUGAACCGCAUGGUUCAAUAGUGAAAGACGGUUUUGCUGUCACUUAUAGAUGGAUCCGCGCCGCAUUAGCUAGUUGGUAAGGUAACGGCUUACCAAGGCAACGAUGCGUAACCGACCUGAGAGGGUGAUCGGCCACACUGGAACUGAGACACGGUCCAGACUCCUACGGGAGGCAGCAGUAGGGAAUCUUCCGCAAUGGGCGAAAGCCUGACGGAGCAACGCCGCGUGAGUGAUGAAGGUCUUCGGAUCGUAAAACUCUGUUAUUAGGGAAGAACAAAUGUGUAAGUAACUAUGCACGUCUUGACGGUACCUAAUCAGAAAGCCACGGCUAACUACGUG
rnacentral:rRNA from 1 species